rnacentral:rRNA from 1 species
GCAUGCAAGUCGCGCGACAAGCCAUUUUUAGCUUGCUAUUAGUGGUGGAGGAGCGGCGUAAGGGAGAGUAACGGGUGGAUUAUCUGCCCUCAGGUCUGGGAUAGCCACGGGAAACUGUGGGUAAUACCGGAUAGUAUCUGCGGAUCAAAGGUGUGAUUCCGCCUGAGGAUGAGUCCGCCUCCUAUUAGCUUGUUGGUGGGGUAACGGCCUACCAAGGCUACGAUGGGUACCGGGUGUGAGAGCAUGGCCCGGCUCACUGGGACUGAGACACUGCCCAGACACCUACGGGUGGCUGCAGUCGAGAAUCUUCGGCAAUGGGCGCAAGCCUGACCGAGCGAUGCCGCGUGCGGGAUGAAGGCCUUCGGGUUGUAAACCGCUGUCAGUAGGGAGGAAAUGUAUGGGGGUCAUCCCCCAUGCUUGACCUAUCUUCAGAGGAAGGACGGGCUAAGUUCGUGCCAGCAGCCGCGGUAAGACGAACCGUCCAAACGUUAUUCGGAAUUACUGGGCUUAAAGGGUGCGUAGGCGGCGCGGUCAGUCGGAUGUGAAAUCGUACAGCUCAACUGUACAACUGCGUCCGA